UAUGAAGCUCAUCUAUAACUACGACUGCUAGUUGGGACAGCUGCCCGUCCGAGUGAGUUCGCUUUUUGAUGGUACGAACUGCAAGUGAAGUAUCUUGAGGUAGCGUUUUACUCCCGUGAGUCCCAAAAUAUCCACGGACACAACAUGUUCCAAGCCUCCUCAAGCCACUCCCAUCGACAGAACCGCAAACGUAAGGCUUCCAUGCGUACAGCACUUGCGAAAGUCCCAGCUGUGAAUGUUGCCCUCUAAAGUUGCCACCUCUUUCCACGUCCAUGGUUGUUUUUCUCUGUCCAGCACCGCGACCACAGCUUUAGAAUCAUGUAUCCCACAGCAUGUCGAAGAGCUAUCCACAGCACUCCACUAAACUCCAUUUGGAUCCGCUAAACUCCGCCACAUCUUCGAUCUGGAGCAGCACAAGUGCGGAGUGGUGCGAGAAGUAACUGAGAUAGUACUGAUGAACACCGUGUUGAGAGACGUCAGGCAAACCGUUUGGUAGCGAGGAAGUGUCCUAAUACCCAGCCUCGAGUCAAACACGUACGGGGAAAGCGAGAUCCGGAAGAAUUGCUUGCCGUCACUGACAUACGUCGCCAGCGCCUGUGUGCAGUUGUCGAAAAAACUGUCGAUAGGAUGGACCUGGACCCAUUGCUGCGUCAGUGGAUUCCCCACCAGGAAAUGCUUCUUGUUGACGAAGAUCUUCCUCCGGUCGCAUAAGACGAGGCCGCCGUGAGAAAGGUAUGGCACAGAAGCUUCGGGUGCAAACCGAGAUUCCCAAGAAUCCGGCAGCUCUUUUAUGACUGGUUCAUUUCUGCAAAAGAGCGAAGUUGUUAUUUCAAGAAAAGGAACGAGUAUAAAAAAGUAUCACCGAGGCCAGCUCGAAGAUGAUAUCGCAAGUACCGAGUAGGUUCAUCAAGUCGGUGGUGCAGUAACAACACGGUUUUUGUUUGAGAGUGACCAUUUUGUCUCCACAGGAACCUGAAACUCGGAUCAUCCAGCAUGCGAGCCCAGUGCUUGCAUACCAGCUUGGACCGUGCUACCCAUUGCAGACCGCUGGAAUUGAGAAGCAGAAAUCUAGUUAGCUCUAAACCUUAAGUCAGAUAUAAGCUUUUACUCUGGGAUUUGGUUGUUGUAGCUCGUCGAAUUGUGAUGCCUCGGGGCUCUGCAUGCAUUGGUGAGAGAGCUCUCAAGUUCGUCAGCUCUACCAGCAUCGACCAGAGUUGGAUUUCUACACUGCUACUUUCAUCGUCUUCGUCAUAGCUUAGCUCGAGCUAUCCUCCAGUUCCAAGCUUCGUUCCACCAAAGUACCUGGAUUUCCAAUUAGCUUUUGUUCUUUCGUUUGGAAAAACGAUGAUAGGUACCUCGUGACAACGAUCAUAACUCCAUCCACACCAGAAUUUUCUCUGGCAGCAUCUUCCUGCCGUCCCUCCAGGCUCUCCACCAUCGCUAACACGAUAGCGUUCUUUGAUCCAAGCUGGAAGAAAAUGAAACAUUCAAGCAAGGAAACGAAGAAGGCGAAACAAAUGAACCACCUUGUAAGCCCAGCACUCGUGAGUUGCCCGUGGAUCCAAGACCUUGCAAACAAAAGAAUGAGCUGAGAUCGCGAUUUUCUUCUUUGCAAAACUAGACCUGGGAGAGAAAUGCCAAUGCGCCUUGUUCAUCGUCCACUGUCCAGAGCGGCCGUGGCGAUGAACUUACUUCCUUUCAUCUCGCACUGCGAAGAAAACCUGCUGUAUAUGCCGAUGCUGCGCCAUCGCUCCAAGAUUUCGCUCCUCUCUGGCGACUGAAAUGCAUAUACAUUGGCGCCAGCGCCGCCGUCCUUCCAUCGAUCGGCGAUCUAGCACCAGCUAGAAAAACCCUAGACGAGGAAUCCAAGCCCAAGCGCGAGUGCCUUUCGAAAAUUGCGGUGCUAUAGAAUCUUGACACACUCGUGGCGCAAUCCUCACCGUCAGUUCAUCCACUGUUCCCGCUCUCUCUCUCUCUCUCGGUAAGUCGGCAAUGUCAACAUCAAAGCAGGUUUGAUCUUCCCAAUUCCAUGCAUUCUCUCUCUCUCUCUCUAGGAAGUUCUCGCUACAUGUAGCUCCUGGGAUUUUGGAGUGUCUUGAAAUAUACGUACUCAUUUGAUCAUUUUUAUCGGCUAGCUCUCACUGUUCUUCUUCUUUUCUGCCUAUUUCUUUCAAGAGAAGCUGGCCAGAAAGACGAAUUUUCUUGUACAAAUCAUCGGGAAAAGAAGAAAUGGAGACUAGUUCUCAUUGAUUAUCUCAAGAGAAAUACGGAAAUAUAAUAAGCUUAAGUGAAAAACCUUUUACAAAAUUUUAAGCUCAUCUCAUUCUCAAACCUUCUUGCAGCCCCAGGAACAUCUUCAGUGUCAAGUUUGAAUAGCUCAUCCGCCUUCAGGUCAACAUAUUCUGACGCGGGAACUAUGGUGUUGCAGUUGGAGCAGCUGGAUACCUGGACUAUCGCCGAUGGUGCCUCCAUUUACAUUGAGAGUCCGGGACCAAUUCUCCAGUGCGUUUCCGACGUGAAAUCCAAUCACCAUGAGUUUGCGAAACAGGGAAUCUACGUGUAUAUGGAGCCCUGGACGCUGCAGGAUUUUGAUGACAGCGGCAAGGCAGUUGGCUUGAACAUCACGGAUAUGCGAGAUCGAUAUCCCUACUGCGGAGGAGUUCCCAGAUACAUCUUUUACUCGGACACGAGCAGACUCAAGAGCCUCAUCAACGAUGCUUUUGCGAAUGUUAGCAACGUCUGCGAGUUAUUGAAGAAUCCUGAUAGCGAGUUUUCCAACAAGAUUUUACAUUAUAGAUCAGUUCUUUGCUUUUUCUUCUUUCAAUACAUGCUCUUCUUUUGCACGUCUCAGCGUCCACAAGAAAUAGAUAUAAGGGUGGAAAUUAAAAGAUGUUUAAUAAAACUCCCUUUACCCAAAACUUUAAACACACAUUUCAUCCCUUAAGCUUGUAAAAAAGGACAUAUUUUAGGUUUUCACUUGUUGUCCUUUCAGCAGAGAAGCCAGCAGCGAUGCCAAACAAAAGCAGCAAGGUGUACAAGGAGCUCCAUCUUCUCCAGAACUACCCACUGUUUUGGUCUUCGUCCUCCCAGCAGACUAGCCUUCAGUUUGGAAGUGUGGAUGAGUUGAAAUCGUACCUGAAAAAGCAGCACCCGACCUGUAUGAAGUGCAAUCGCGGUGAGUGCGGCAACUUCGAUUACUUCAACAACGACAACAUUGGCCAGCCAAGGUAUCGCUGCAGUCAGUGCAAUAAAAAAUUCACUUAUGGCGGAAAAACAAGACCAACCUACAUGAAGCGGCCAAGAUCGAGCAGCAAUGAGGAAGUUGGCAUGGCACAUGAGAACAAGAAGCUCAAGCGCGCUCCAGUUGAAGACGAGAUGAGCAAGGGUUCGCUGGUCCACGAAAGUCAAGCGAAGCAGAGUGGUCAACAGGCCGAUAAAGCUGGGGCGGUGAUCCGGGUGGGGGACAUGGAAGAUUUUGACAUGGAUGACUUGGAGGUGGCUAGAAUCAUGGCACUGGUCGAGGAGAAUGAAGUCCCAAACGAGGAGGAACACAUCCCUCUUGUGUUCCCUGAGGUGGCAGAAAUUGUAGUGAGUGACGAAGAGAUGACUGAAAUUCUGUCGUCAAAUCUCGAGGAUGUGGAUGAUGAGGAGAUGCUAAAUCUCGUGCUUGAGGAGGUUUUGGAGCGGCCAAAACACGAGGAGGGCUUUGCGGAAAUUCAAAUUGGCAAUGGGGAAACGAGCCAAAUCCUCCAAAAGAAUGUGGACAAUGAGGAUCUUGUGCUUGAGGGGGAUUCUCAGGAGGAGAAGGCAGAGGCAAUGGAGGGGGACAUUUAUUUUGCUCUCGAGCUUGAACAGGAUCUCCAGGCCGAAGAAGAUAAGCGAAAGGAGGAAUCCAUGAUGCUCUGGAAGAUUGAAUUGGAGAAAGCUAAAUGGAGUGGUAUGUUUAAUUUCAAAACAAAUCGGCAGAUUGAAUCAACAAUCAAAUGAACACAAUCAGGAUAGAAAAAGAAAAACAAAUACUUCCAUGUUUGGUGUAAAAUUUAUUAAUAGUAUUAGAUCGAAGUACCACUUUUUUUGAAUUAAAGAUGAUGUUCACAACAAGAAUUUUCCACUGGUCCUGAAAUCGGGAAGCAGUCUUAUUGGCCUGGGCAUGUAUCAAGACCUUGUUUCCAGAUUUAAGAUGUGACAGCGGCAAGAUCGGGUCCUUGGCCUUCUUUUCCGCCAUGGUUACCAUUUUCUUGCAUAAUUACUGCUCGGUUUUCCUUGUCAGUGCUAUGAACGUCGGCCUUGCCCUCAUCUUGCUUUGGAGAUAUGGCCAUCUCGUCUGUCUCAGCCUGAGGCCUCUCAACACUGCGACAGCGAAUGCGGAAUCGUUGCUCCAAGAGCUUGAAAGGCCGAGAAUGCAGAAUCGUUGCUCCAAGAGAAAGUAGCUAUUCGGGCCGAGAAAGUAAUCCAAAGACUGCGACAGCGAAUGCGGAAUCGUUGCUCCAAGAGCUUGAAAGGCCGAGAAUGCGGAAUCGUUGCUCCAAGAGAAAGUAGCUAUUCGGGCCUCUUCUGCUCGAUCUAGGACAAUUCUCCCUGCUCCGUUUACUAUUUUCUUUGCCGCUGCACCAUACAUCCACUGCUGCUUACCAGCAUCUAUUACAAAAAGCUUGCCAGUAAAAGCAUAUAAGAAAAGCCAACCUGCAUGUUCUUUGAAUGAAGAAUCGCACAGUGCGUUUGCAAGUUCAGGAAUUGUAGCCUCAGCUACAACUUCAACUGUUCGUACGCCCGCUUUGUAUAAACAUCUAGCUCGCGCAGCCUGUGAAAACAUAAAAUAAAGGUAAAACAGUCCAAGAGCUUGCACUUCCUAGUGCCGAAACUUCAGUAUUAUGGAACAAAGGUCGACCAUACAUACCUGAACAAGCUUGGACAAUAUAAGAGCCACAAAAAAGCGUCUGUACACACGCAAGUUUUGAUUCGCCUCGCUAGCCUUCUCACUAGCUUUUAGACUCCUUUUACGGCCCUGCAUUGGUGCUCCAUGAGCCAUGCGCAUCAGGGAUGCCUCGGUCACCCCAACUCUAGCAACUGCCUGUAAAAUGCGAAAGCAUUACAAUGUCUAUUUCUAGCUUUCGUCUAUAAGAACCUGAUCGACAUAGGUCAAUUCGACAAAUCUUUGACAGUAAACUCCCCAGUCCGGUUCAAGCUCCAUGUGAAUAGGAGUAACCUCGUAAACAAGGUGCAAAUCCGACGCUAAAACAAAACUAUCACGGGCUUUAGCAAGAUCCUCAAAGACAACCUGCAUCCACAUAAUUAAAAUUCGUCAUUGCCAGCAAAAACGAGCGAGAACGUACCAAGAAUUCUUCCGGGCUGAGCGAACUGCCAAACGCUGCUUUUCCUAAUGGACUUAUUUUUGUAGACCUGUAACUCCUGAUCCCACUCUAUCAGUCGCUUGUGGCACAGAAAAGAAUCUUGAGCAGACUUCACGACGUCAUCAAAAGGCUGUGUAGAGUUGAGAAGGGUGCAGAGCGGUUCACAUCCUGUGCCCACCUCCAAAACGAGCUCUCAUCAUUCCAUUCUUUUCCUCGGCGAGACAUGACCGCAACGGUUGACAACCUUCUCUCCGAGUGAGUUCGCUUUGUGAUGGUACGAACUGCAAGUGAAGUAUCUGGAGGUAGCGUUUUACUCCCGUGAGUCCCAAAAUAUCCACGGACACAACAUGUUCCAAGCCUCCUCAAGCCACUCCCAUCGACAGAACCGCAAACGUAAGGCUUCCAUGCGUACAGCACUUGCGAAAGUCCCAGCUGUGAAAGUGCCCUCUAAAGUUGCCACCUCUUUCCACGUCCAUGGUUGUUUUUCUCUGUCCAGCACCGCGACCACAGCUUUAGAAUCAUAUAUCCCACAGCAUGUCGAAGAGCUAUCCACAGCACUCCACUAAACUCCAUUUGGAUCCGCUAAACUCCGCCACAUCUUCGAUCUGGAGCAGCACAAGUGCGGAGUGGUGCGAGAAGUAACUGAGAUAGUACUGAUGAACACCGUGUUGAGAGACGUCAGGCAAACCGUUUGGUAGCGAGCAAGUGUCCUAAUACCCAGCCUCGAGUCAAACACGUACGGGGAAAGCGCGAUCCGGAAGAAUUGCUUGCCGUCACUGACAUACGUCGCCAGCACCUGUGUGCACUUGUCGAUAAAACUGUCGAUAGGAUGGAGCUGGACCCAUUGCUGCGUCAGUGGAUUCGAAACCGGCAUAAGACGAGGCCGCCGUGAGAAAGGUAUGGCACAGAACAUUCGGGUGCAAACCGAGACUCCCAACAAUCCGGCAGCUCUUUCAUGACUGGUUCCUUUCUGCAAAAGAGCGAAGUUGUUAUUUCAAGGAAAUGCAGUAUAAAAGUAUCACCAAGGCCAGCUGGAAGAUGAUAUCGCAAGUACCGAGUAGGUUCAUCAAGUCGGUGGUGCAUGAACAACACGAUUUCGGUUUACGAGUGACCAUUUUGUCUCCACAGGAGCCUGAAACUCGGAUCAUCCAGCAUGCGAGCCCAGUGCUUGCAUACCAGCUUGGACCAUGCUACGUCUGCGGCUAGUAGCCAGGAGAGUAAAUGUGUCUGAAGCUCCAGCGGUAAGCUUCAGCAGGAAGAAUUAAAAGGAGAAGCAGAAAUCCAGUUAGCUCUAAAGCUUAAGUUAAAGGAGAGAAAAAUAACCUUUUCCUCUAGGAGUUGGUUGUUGUAGCUCGUUGAAUUGUGAUGCCUCCUCUGCAUGCAUUGGUGAGAGAGCUUUCAAGUUCGUCAGCUCUACCAGCAUCGAGCGAGAGUUGGAUUUCUACACUGCUACUUUCAUCAUCUUCGUCAUAGCUUUCUUUAAUGUUCUCGGCUCCGUGAAGCUGAAGCUGGAUUCAUCGCCCAUCAAGUCAGAAAGAACAAAACUAAUAACACCAAAGCUUACAAGAGGGUACACAGCUCCAAGAUGAUCAAACCCAAACUUGAGAACCAGGGAGAUCUACACACUCGAUGCAAGUCAGGAGACAACACCAAACUACAUAAGAAAACCUUUGCUUUGACAAUGUGCGUCGGUGCGUCUUUGAGGCAGUCAGCAGCGAUUCCUCCAUAAGCUCGAACGAGUCCUCCAGUUCCAAGCUUCGUUCCACCAAAGUACCUGGAUUUCCAAUUAGCCUUUGUUCUUUCGUUUGGAAAAACGAUGAUAGCUACCUCCUGACAACGACCAUAACUCCAUCCACACCAGAAUUUUCUAUGGCAGCAUAGAUUGGCCGUCCUGCCGUUCCUCCAGGCUCUCCACCAUCGCUAACACGAUAGCGUUCUUUGAUCCAAGCUGGAAGAAAAUGAAACAUUCAAGCAAGGAAACGAAGAAGGCGAAACAAAUGAACCACCUUGUAAGCCCAGCACUCGUGAGUUGCCCGUGGAUCCAAGACCUUGCAAACAAAAGAAUGAGCUGAGAUCGCGAUUUUCUCUAGACCUGGGAGAGAAAUGCCAAUGCGCCUUGUUCAUCGUCCACUGUCCAGAGCGGCCGUGGCGAUGAACUUACUUCCUUUCAUCUCGCACUGCGAAGAAAACCUGCUGUAUAUGCCGAUGCUGCGCCAUCGCUCCAAGAUUUCGCUCCUCUCUGGCGACUGAAAUGCAUAUACAUUGGCGCCAGCGCCGCCGUCCUUCCAUCGAUCGGCGAUCUAGCACCAGCUAGAAAAACCCUAGACGAGGAAUCCAAGCCCAAGCGCGAGUGCCUUUCGAAAAUUGCGGUGCUAUAGAAUCUUGACACACUCGUGGCGCAAUCCUCACCGUCAGUUCAUCCACUGUUCCCGCUCUCUCUCUCUCUCUCGGUAAGUCGGCAAUGUCAACAUCAAAGCAGGUUUGAUCUUCCCAAUUCCAUGCAUUCUCUCUCUCUCUCUCUCUAGGAAGUUCUCGCUACAUGUAGCUCCUGGGAUUUUGGAGUGUCUUGAAAUAUACGUACUCAUUUGAUCAUUUUUAUCGGCUAGCUCUCACUGUUCUUCUUCUUUUCUGCCUAUUUCUUUCAAGAGAAGCUGGCCAGAAAGACGAAUUUUCUUGUACAAAUCAUCGGGAAAAGAAGAAAUGGAGACUAGCUCUCAUUGAUUAUCUCAAGAGAAAUACGGAAAUAUAAUAAGCUUAAGUGAAAAACCUUUUACAAAAUUUUAAGCUCAUCUGAUUCUCAAACCUUCUUGCAGCCCCAGGAACAUCUUCAGUGUCAAGUUUGAAUAGCUCAUCCUCCUUCAGGUCAACAUAUUCUGACGCAGGAACUAUGGUGUUGCAGUUGGAGCAGCUGGAUACCUGGACUAUCGCCGAUGGUGCCUCCACUUACAUUGAGAGUCCGGGACCAAUUCUCCAGUGCGUUUCCGACGUGAAAUCCAAUCACCAUGAGUUUGCGAAACAGGGAAUCUGCGUGUAUAUGGAGCCCUGGAAGCUGCAGGAUUGUGAUGACGGCGCCAAGGCAGUUGGUUUGAACAUCACGGAUAUGCGAGAUCGAUAUCCCUACUGCGGAGGAGUUCCCAGAUACAUCUUUUACUCGGACACGAGCAGACUCAAGAGCCUCAUCAACGAUGCUUUUGCGAAUGUUAGCAACGUCUGCGAGUUAUUGAAGAAUCCUGAUAGCGAGUUUUCCAACAAGAUUUUACAUUAUAGAUCAGUUCUUUGCUUUUUCUUCUUUCAAUACAUGCUCUUCUUUUGCACGUCUCAGCGUCCACAAGAAAUAGAUAUAAGGGUGGAAAUUAAAACAUGUUUAAUAAAACUCCCUUUACCCAAAACUUUAAACACACAUUUCAUCCCUUAAGCUUGUAAAAAAGGACAUAUUUUAGGUUUUCACUUGUUGUCCUUUCAGCAGAGAAGCCAGCAGCGAUGCCAAACAAAAGCAGCAAGGUGUACAAGGAGCUCCAUCUUCUCCAGAACUACCCACUGUUUUGGUCUUUGUCCUCCCAGCAGAGUACGUUUGGAAGCGUGGAUGAGCUGAAAUCGUACCUGAAACAGCAGCACCCGACCUGUAUGAAGUGCAAUCGUGGUGAGUGCAGCAACUUCGACUACUUCAACAAUGACAACAUUGGCCAGCCAAGGUAUCGCUGCAGUCAGUGCAAGGAAAAAUUCACUUAUGGUGGAAAAACAAGACCAACCUACAUGAAGCGGCCAAGAUCAAGCAGCACUGGGGAAGUUGGCAUGGCACAUGAGAAGAAGAAGCUCAAGCGCGCUCCAUUUGAAGACGAGAGGAAGAAGGGUUCGCUGGUCCACGAAAGUCAAGCGAAGCAGAGUGGUCAACAGGCCGAUAAAGCUGGGGCGGUGAUCCAGGACAUGGAAGAUUUUGACAUGGAUGACCUGGAGGUGGCUAGAAUCAUGGCACUGGUCGAGGAGAAUGAAGUCCCAAAUGAGGAGGAACACAUCCCUCUUGUGUUCCCUGAGGUGGCAGAAAUUGUAGUGAGUGACGAAGAGAUGACUGAAAUUCUGUCGUCAAAUCUCGAGGAUGUGGAUGAUGAGGAGAUGCUAAAUCUCGUGCUUGAGGAGGUUUUGGAGCGGCCAAAACACGAGGAGGGCUUGGCGGAAAUUCAAAUUGGCAAUGGGGAAACAAGCCAAAUCCUCCAAAGGAAUGUGGACAAUGAGGAUCUUGUGCUUGAGGGGGAUUCUCAGGAGGAGCAGGCAGAGGCAAUGGAGGGGGACAUUUAUUUUGCUCUUGAGCUUGAACAGGAUCUUCAGGCCGAAGAAGAUAAGCGAAAGGAGGAAUCCAUGAUGCUCUGGAAGAUUGAAUUGGAGAAAGCUAAAUGGAGUGAUAUUUUUAAUUUUAAAACUAAUCGGCAGGGUAGUAUUCUUGGUUGAUUGAAUCAACAACAAAAUCAACACAAUCAGGAUAGAAAAAAAAAACAAAUACUCCCAUGUUUAGUGUAAAAUUUAUUAAUAGUAUUAGAUCGAAGUACCACUUUUUUGAAUUAAAGAUGAUGUUCACAACAAGAAUUUUUCACUGGUCCUGAAAUCGAUCAAAACCUUGUUUCCAGAUCUGAUGUGACAGCGGCAAGAUCGGGUCCUUGGCCUUCUUUUCCGCAAUGCUCCAAACGCAUUGGGGCCAUGGUUACCAUUUUCUUGCAUAAUUACUGCUCGGUUUUCCUUGUCAGUGCUAUGAACGUCGGCCUUGCUCUCGUCCUGCUUUGGAGAUAUGGCCAUCGAGGCCUCUCAACUCUGGCAUAUAAAGACUGCGACAGCGAAUGGGGAAUCGUUGCUCCAAGAGCUUGAAAGGCCGUCUCUUCUGCUCGAUCCAGGACAAUUCUCCCUGCUCCGUUGCAGCAUACAUCCAUACCAGCAUCUAUCACAACAAGCUUGCGAGUAAAAGCAUUCGGUAUAUAAGAGAAACAAACCUACAUGUCCUUUGAAUGAAGAAUCGCACAGUGCGUUUGCAAAUUCAGGAAUUGUAGCCUCAGCUACGGCUUUCAACUGUUCGUAAGCCCGCUUUGUAUAAACACCUAGCUCGUGCAGCCUGUGAAAACAUAAAAGAAAGGUAAAACAAUCAAAGAAAGAGCUUGCACAGUGCCCCUCGGCACCUUGAACGUACUGCAGACGUCCAUUAGCGGCACUUCCUAGUGGCGAAACUUCAGUAUUAUGGAACAAAGGUCGACCAUACAUACCUGAACAAGCUUGGACAAUAUAAGAGCCACAAAAAAGCGUCUGUACACACGCAAGUUUUGAUCCUCUCACUACCUUUUAUACUCCUUUUACAGCCCUGCAUUGGUGCUCCAUGAGCCAUGCGCAUCAGGGAUGCCUCGGUCACCCCAACUGUAGCAACUGCCUGUAAAAUGCGAAAGCAUUACAAUGUCUAUUUCUAGCUUUCGUCUAUAAGAACCUGAUCCACAUAGGACAAUUCGACAAAUCUUUGAUAGUAAACUCCCCAGUCCGGUUCAAGCUCCAUGUGAAUAGGAGUAACCUCGUAAACAAGGUGCAAAUCCGACGCUAAAACAAAACUAUCACGGGCUUUAGCAAGAUCCUCAAAGACAACCUGCAUCCACAUAAUUAAAAUUCGUCAUUGCCAGCAAAAACGAGCGAGAACGUACCAAGAAUUCUUCCGGGCGGAGCGAACUGCCAAACGCUGCUUUUCCUAAUGGAGUUAUUUUUGUAGACCUGUAACUCCUGAUCCCACUCUAUCAGUCGCUUGUGGCACAGAAAAGAAUCUUGAGCAGACUUCACGACGUCAUCAAAAGGCUGUGUAGAGUUGAGAAGGGUGCAGAGCGGUUGACAUCCUAUGCCCACCUCCAAAACGAGCUCUCAUCAUUCCAUUCUUUUCCUCGGCGAGACAUGACCGCAACGGUUGACAACCUUCUUUCAGAAUGGGAAGCUCCUCACUUUUACAGAUUAAUAUCUGGAAAACCAACAUUCGGCAAAUUUCAGAAUACAUAAACGAGACAAGUCUUACACUCUCGCCAUGCGUGUCUAUCCCUGCUCUUCUUGCUCUUCCAGCCAUUUGCCUGUAUCUCGUCGGGCAGUGGUUUCGCAGGCAUGACGACUUGAACAAAACAAAAGCACAGAAUGGCCUUACUAACCACCUAGACAACAAAGAGCACAAACUGAAAUCAGUAAGACCUAUGAAAGGUCUUUGUCAAAACACAAAAGUAACCUCAUGGCAUGGAUGGACGAUGUGAUCUGGAUCCUUGCCGCUAAGUUCAGAGCCUGCUUUUAGAGCACGAACAGUAUUCAUACUAGUAUCGUAAAUGACUUCAAUGUGUUCGUCUAAAGGAACCGGGCGAGGCGAAAGUUAGUCUCAUAAAAUGCAGCCUGCAAAUUAUCAUCAUGGUCUGUAAGACUUGAAUAAAAGAUUGCAAUACCUGAAGCCAUGAUGCAACGGCUGCUACAUUAGGCAUCGUUGCACUCAUUCCUAUAAUUUGCAAGCUCGUGGGGCCGUCGUGCUGCUGCUUUCAUAGUCACCUUUACCGGCCGCAUAUCGUAGCUUAGUUCUAGCAAAUAACCUCUCUCUUUAUCUCCAACCUGCACUAGACUGUUAGAAGAAAGAUAUUGGGAUGUCAGUAUACAUACCAUAUGAAGCUCAUCUAUAACUACGACUGCUAGUUGGGACAGCUGCCCGUCCGAGUGAGUUCGCUUUUUGAUGGUACGAACUGCAAGUGAAGUAUCUUGAGGUAGCGUUUUACUCCCGUGAGUCCCAAAAUAUCCACGGACACAACAUGUUCCAAGCCUCCUCAAGCCACUCCCAUCGACAGAACCGCAAACGUAAGGCUUCCAUGCGUACAGCACUUGCGAAAGUCCCAGCUGUGAAAGUUGCCCUCUAAAGUUGCCACCUCUUUCCACGUCCAUGGUUGUUUUUCUCUGUCCAGCACCGCGACCACAGCUUUAGAAUCAUAUAUCCCACAGCAUGUCGAAGAGCUAUCCACAGCACUCCACUAAACUCCAUUUGGAUCCGCUAAACUCCGCCACAUCUUCGAUCUGGAGCAGCACAAGUGCGGAGUGGUGCGAGAAGUAACUGAGAUAGUACUGAUGAACACCGUGUUGAGAGACGUCAGGCAAACCGUUUGGUAGCGAGCAAGUGUCCUAAUACCCAGCCUCGAGUCAAACACGUACGGGGAAAGCGCGAUCCGGAAGAAUUGCUUGCCGUCACUGACAUACGUCGCCAGCACCUGUGUGCACUUGUCGAUAAAACUGUCGAUAGGAUGGAGCUGGACCCAUUGCUGCGUCAGUGGAUUCGAAACCGGCAUAAGACGAGGCCGCCGUGAGAAAGGUAUGGCACAGAAGCUUCGGGUGCAAACCGAGACUCCCAACAAUCCGG
rnacentral:lncRNA from 1 species